rnacentral:rRNA from 1 species
CAACUCUCAACAACGGAUAUCUUGGCUCCCGUAACGAUGAAGAACGCAGCGAAAUGCGAUACGUAGUGUGAAUUGCAGAAUUCCGUGAACCAUCGAAUCUUUGAACGCAAAUUGCGCUCGAGGCUUCGGCCUAGAGCAUGUCUGGCUCAGCGUC